UUUCCGUAGGUGAACCUGCGGAAGGAUCAUUAAAGAAUUUGCCCCGUCCUCUCGAGGAUGGGUCCUCUUCUAAACCGUGUAUACAUACCUUUGUUGCUUUGGCGGGCCGCCGUCUCGGCGUUGGCUUUGGCUGACUGUGCCCGCCAGAGAACCCCAACUCUUCUGUUUAGUAUUGUCUGAGUACUAUAUAAUAGUUAAAACUUUCAACAACGGAUCUCUUGGUUCUG
rnacentral:misc_RNA from 1 species